UACCGAGUGAGGGCCCUCUGGGUCCAACCUCCCACCCGUGUUUAUUUUACCUUGUUGCUUCGGCGGGCCCGCCUUAACUGGCCGCCGGGGGGCUUACGCCCCCGGGCCCGCGCCCGCCGAAGACACCCUCGAACUCUGUCUGAAGAUUGUAGUCUGAGUGAAAAUAUAAAUUAUUUAAAACUUUCAACAACGGAUCUCUUGGUUCCGGCAUCGAUGAAGAACGCAGCGAAAUGCGAUACGUAAUGUGAAUUGCAAAUUCAGUGAAUCAUCGAGUCUUUGAACGCACAUUGCGCCCCCUGGUAUUCCGGGGGGCAUGCCUGUCCGAGCGUCAUUUCUGCCCUCAAGCACGGCUUGUGUGUUGGGCCCCGUCCUCCGAUCCCGGGGGACGGGCCCGAAAGGCAGCGGCGGCACCGCGUCCGGUCCUCGAGCGUAUGGGGCUUUGUCACCCGCUCUGUAGGCCCGGCCGGCGCUUGCCGAUCAACCCAAAUUUUUAUCCAGGUUGACCUCGGAUCAGGUAGGGAUACCCGCUGAACUUAAGCAUAU
rnacentral:rRNA from 1 species